UGUUAAUGCUAAUUCCCUUCAUUUUCUCAGAGUCCAUCGUGUCUGUGCCACACUGCACUGCAGUGGUCUGCUCAUCCAGGAGAGCCUGACCUGAACAACGGGAUCAAUGAGCUCUGAAGAGCCUGAUCAGAGGAUCAGGAUCAGCCUUCAGGUCUCCCUUACCUUCCAGGCCCCCACAUCCCCAGUCCAGCUGCCUCAGACAACAGCUUUGUAAGUAUGAAGCAUCACCAGACCCACUGAGCUUCAGCCUGCCCACACCCAGAACUACAGGAUAACUCCAGCUUCCCAAAAUCCCAUUUAAUGCAAGUCUAAGAAAGACACUGGCAACAGACAGAGGCAAGG
rnacentral:lncRNA from 12 species